rnacentral:lncRNA from 1 species
UUAGCUUUUCCUUGCAGCUCUGUGGUGUCUCAGCUUUGGUCCUCUGUCUUCAUUUGGUCACUGAUAAAAAUGGACUUGCUGGAGGGUGCUGCCUGAUAGAGCAGAUGCAGGGCCCACCUUGGCUGUCUCUUUGCCUCAGGCAGGUUGCCCAAGGGGAAGAGGGGCCUUGGCUCUCCUCAAGCUGUGCUGUCUCUACCCCAGGGCCAUGUUGCCGCUGCCGGGUGCUCUCAGGCCUGCCGCCUCUUAGGGCCUCAGUCUUGGAAGGCUCCUGGUUGUGCAAGCACCAGAGGGAGAAGCGAAUUGGUCUGCAAUGGUGUUUGGGAGCCUCAGCGGUGCUUUCUAACUCUAGGUAGGAAGAAUGAGAUAUCUGGUUCUAUGGAAAUCUAAGCCAGCAGCUGCUUCUCAAUGGAGCAGGACAGACCUGGGUU